GGAUGUGAGGGGGAUCUGGCUAUUGCCUCUGUCACCCCAUUGGUCACCUGGGUUGAUUUAGCUGAUCUGGCCUCCGGGGCAGGUGUGCCUUCCUCCCCCAGUAGUCCAGGUGCCGUCCCUCCGAAAGCUGCUUGCUUGGUUGAAGAAGACAAUCUUCUCCACGUGGAACAAAGAAAGGUGAAGGGAAUAAAAUAUGCAGGGAAUCAAUUAGUUCCAAGGCCCAAAGGUACAAUGAACUCUAGUCUCCAU
rnacentral:sRNA from 1 species